rnacentral:rRNA from 1 species
AGAGUUUGAUCCUGGCUCAGAACGAACGCUGGCGGCAGGCCUAAUACAUGCAAGUCGAGCGGAAAGGCUCCUUCGGGAGUGCUCGAGCGGCGAACGGGUGAGUAACAGGUGGAUAACCUGCCUCUUGGUGGAGGAUAGCCGCUGGAAACGGCGGGUAAUACUGCAUGAGAUUCUCAGAACUUCGGUUUUGAGGAAGAAAGGCGCUUCUGGCGUCGCCGAGAGAUGGGUCCGCCCCCCAUUAGCUAGUUGGUGAGAUAAUAGCCCACCAAGGCAACGAUGGGUAGCCGGGCUGAGAGGUUGGCCGGCCACACUGGAACUGAGACACGGUCCAGACACCUACGGGUGGCAGCAGUAGGGAAUAUUGCGCAAUGGGCGAAAGCCUGACGCAGCCAUGCCGCGUGCGCGAUGAAGGCCUUCGGGUCGUAAAGCGCUUUUCUGAAGGAAGAACAGUCCCGGCAGGAAAUGGUCGGGAUUUGACGGUACUUCAGGAAUAAGCAACGGCUAACUCCGUGCCAGCAGCCGCGGUAAGACGGAGGUUGCAAGCGUUGUUCGGAAUUACUGGGCGUAAAGGGGGCGCAGGCGGUUAGGUCAGUCUGUAGUGAAAACCUGGGGCUCAACCCUGGGAUUGCUUCGGAUACUGCCUAACUAGAGUUCGGAAGAGGAGAGUGGAAUUCCUGGUGUAGCGGUGAAAUGCGUAGAUAUCAGGAGGAACACCUGUGGCGAAAGCGACUCUCUGGUCCGAUACUGACGCUGAGGCCCGAAAGCGUGGGGAGCGAACAGGAUUAGAUACCCUGGGUAGUCCACGCCGUAAACGUUGUGCACUAGGUGUGGGAGGACAUCGACCCCUUCCGUGCCGCAGCUAACGCAUUAAGUGCACCGCCUGGGGAGUACGCCCGCAAGGGUGAAACUCAAAGGAAUUGACGGGGGCCCGCACAAGCGGUGGAGCAUGUGGUUUAAUUCGAUGCAACGCGAAGAACCUCACCCAGGCUUGACAUCCCGGGAAGUUCUUGGAAGCAAGUUCGUGCCCUUCGGGGAACCCGGUGACAGGUGUUGCAUGGCUGUCGUCAGCUCGUGUCGUGAGAUGUUGGGUUAAGUCCCGCAACGAGCGCAACCCCUAUCCUUAGUUACCAUCGGUUCGGCCGGGCACUCUAAGGAGACUGCCGCUGAUAAAGCGGAGGAAGGUGGGGACGACGUCAAGUCAUCAUGGCCCUUACGCCUGGGGCUACACACGUGCUACAAUGGCCGGCACAAAGGGCAGCUAGACCGCGAGGUGGAGCUAAUCCCAAAAAGCCGGUCUCAGUUCGGAUUGGAGUCUGCAACUCGACUCCAUGAAGUUGGAAUCGCUAGUAAUCGCGUAUCAGCAAUGACGCGGUGAAUACGUUCCCGGGCCUUGUACACACCGCCCGUCACAUGACCCGAGUCGGGGGCACCCGAAGUCGCUGACUCAACCCGCAAGGGAGAGAGGCGCCGAAGGUGUGCCUGGUAAGGGGGAUGAAGUCGUAACAAGGUAGCCGU